GACGACGCUGGCGGCGUGGAUUAGGCAUGCAAGUCGAACGGUAGGAUACCUUCGGGUAUCUGAGAGUGGCGAACGGGUGAGUAACACGUAGGUGAUCUACCCUCAAGAUUGGGACAACCCAGGGAAACUUGGGCUAAUACCGGAUGAAAGCAGCAGCGAUGUUGUUUGAAAGGUGGCGUAAGCUGCCGUUUGGGGAUGAGCCUGCGCUCUAUUAGUUAGUUGGCGGGGUAAAGGCCCACCAAGGCGAUGAUAGAUAGGCGGCCUUAACGGGUGGUCGCCCACACUGGGAUUGAGAUACGGCCCAGACUCCUACGGGAGGCAGCAGUCGAGAAUAGUCUACAGUGGCCGAAAGGCUGAUAGUGCGACGCCGCGUGAACGAAGAAGCCCUUCGGGGUGUAAAGUUCUUUUAUAUGUGAGCAGUGCUUUCUAUGUGAACAGCAUAGGGAGAGAGAUAUUAGCAUAUGAAUAAGCAACGGCUAACUCCGUG
rnacentral:rRNA from 1 species